UUUAACGCUGGCGGCAGGCCUAACNCAUGCAAGUCGANCGGAAACGACACUAANAAUNCUUCGGGUGCNUUAAUGGGCGUCGAGCGGCGGACGGGUGAGUAAUGCCUAGGAAAUUGCCUUGAUGUGGGGGAUAACCAUUGGAAACGAUGGCUAAUACCGCAUAAUGCCUACGGGCCAAAGAGGGGGACCUUCGGNCCUCUCGCGUCAAGAUAUGCCUAGGUGGGAUUAGCUAGUUGGUGAGGUAAUGGCUCACCAAGGCGACGAUCCCUAGCUGGUCUGAGAGGAUGAUCAGCCACACUGGAACUGAGACACGGUCCAGACUCCUACGGGAGGCAGCAGUGGGGAAUAUUGCACAAUGGGCGAAAGCCUGAUGCAGCCAUGCCGCGUGUAUGAAGAAGGCCUUCGGGUUGUAAAGUACUUUCAGUUGUGAGGAAGGGGGUAACGUUAAUAGCGUUAUCUCUUGACGUUAGCAACAGAAGAAGCACCGGCUAACUCCGUGCCAGCAGCCGCGGGUUAAUA
rnacentral:rRNA from 1 species